GGGGAAUAUUGCACAAUGGGCGGAAGCCUGAUGCAGCAACGCCGCGUGCGGGAUGACGGCCUUCGGGUUGUAAACCGCUUUCGCCUGUGACGAAGCGUGAGUGACGGUAAUGGGUAAAGAAGCACCGGCUAACUACGUGCCAGCAGCCGCGGUGAUACGUAGGGUGCGAGCGUUGUCCGGAUUUAUUGGGCGUAAAGGGCUCGUAGGUGGUUGAUCGCGUCGGGAGUGUAAUCUUGGGGCUUAACCCUGAGCGUGCUUUCGAUACGGGUUGACUUGAGGAAGGUAGGGGAGAAUGGAAUUCCUGGUGGAGCGGUGGAAUGCGCAGAUAUCAGGAGGAACACCAGUGGCGAAGGCGGUUCUCUGGGCCUUUCCUGACGCUGAGGAGCGAAAGCGUGGGGAGCGAACAGGCUUAGAUACCCUGGUAGUCCACGCUGUAAACGGUGGGUACUAGGUGUGGGGUCCAUUCCACGGGUUCCGUGCCGUAGCUAACGCUUUAAGUACCCCGCCUGGGGAGUACGGCCGCAAGGCUA
rnacentral:rRNA from 1 species